AGAGUCAACGCUGGCGGCGUGCCUAACACAUGCAAGUCGCACGAGAAAGGGGAGCAAUCCCUGAGUACAGUGGCGCACGGGUGAGUAACACGUGAAUAAUCUACCUCCGAGUGGGGAAUAACUGAGAGAAAUCUUAGCUAAUACCGCAUAACACUUACGAGUCAAAGCAGCAAUGCGCUUGGAGAGGAGUUCGCGGCCGAUUAGUUAGUUGGCGGGGUAAUGGCCCACCAAGACGAUGAUCGGUA
rnacentral:rRNA from 1 species